UACAGAGGUCUCAAGCGUUGUUCGGAUUCAUUGGGCGUAAAGGGUGCGUAGGCGGCGCGGUAAGUCGGGUGUGAAAUCUUGGAGCUUAACUCCGAAACUGCAUUCGAUACUGCCGUGCUUGAGGACUGGAGAGGAGACUGGAAUUUACGGUGUAGCGGUGAAAUGCGUAGAUAUCGUAAGGAAGACCAGUGGCGAAGGCGGGUCUCUGGACAGUUCCUGACGCUGAAGCACGAAGGCCAGUGGAGCAAACGGG
rnacentral:rRNA from 1 species